AUAGCUCAAAUUUGAAAUCUGGCGCCUUCGGUGUCCGAGUUGUAAUUUGAAGAAGGUAUCUUUGGUUUUGGCUCUUGUCUAUGUUCCUUGGAACAGGACGUCACAGAGGGUGAGAAUCCCGUGCGAUGAGAUGCCCAAUUCCAUGUAAAGUUCCUUCGACGAGUCGAGUUGUUUGGGAAUGCAGCUCUAAGUGGGUGGUAAAUUCCAUCUAAAGCUAAAUAUUGGCGAGAGACCGAUAGCGAACAAGUACUGUGAAGGAAAGAUGAAAAGAACUUUGAAAAGAGAGUGAAAAAGUACGUGAAAUUGUUGAAAGGGAAGGGCUUGAGGUCAGACUUGGUUUUACCAGGCCAGCAUCAGUUUGGAUGGCAGGAUAAUAGCUUAGGAAUGUGGCACUGCUUCGGUAGUGUGUUAUAGCCUGGGUUGAUACUGCCUGUCUAGACUGAGGACUGCGUCUUUGACUAGGAUGCUGGCAUAAUGACCUUAAGCC
rnacentral:rRNA from 1 species